ACUCGAGUUUAUCUCUGUGCGAUGAUCUCUUCUCACUCUGCUUCUGCGCAACGUAAUUCUGUUUUAGUUGAAUUGCAGCAGUCGAGUGAAGCUGAUUAAAAAUAUUAAUAUUGACUUUUCUCGGGUAAAUACCGUCCGUGUUUCUAGUGCUAUACGUUUUCGGAUUCGUGCAGACCGUGUGUAUUAAUAUACAUUUAAAAAAACUCGUAUUCUAGAGCUUAACAAAAAUGGAAUCCAAAUGUUGAUACUGCGGUCGAUUUUAAAGACUUACAAAUCCCAAAAAAGCUUGCCCUUAUUUAAAGUCGCAGUUAAAUAACCCUUAUAAAGCCAUUCAAAGUCUUCAAAAAAUAAUUAAUUGUGCAUUUCAUAAAAGCCCGUUGAAUAAGAAUAAAAUACACUAGCACACAUAUAUACAAACACACGUACGCGCACAUUUGCCGAUUCUCUCCGCCUACAUACAUACGUACAUAUAGCAUACAUAUGCACGUGUGUGUUCUCACAAUUUAUAUCUACUUAUGCUUCUGUGCAAUAGCUCUGCGGUGUUUACCGUAGAAUGGCUCUCGCGUGAAUUAUUGUUGUUGCUUAUCGCUCCAAAAAUGAAUUUUGUCUGGUGAUCAUUUGCUUGCUCUGUAUGCGGAGAAAAAAGUAUGCAUAUAUGUUUGUUUGUAUGUAUUGGGCAAUGCGAAAAUAUCAAUAUGUAUGUAUAUGCACAAUAACUGUAGCACUCGACAAUCACAUCGCCUUUUAGUUAUGAAAAUAAAAAUUCCGUUAAGAGAGCUGCUGAAAUUGAUUCUCUGAUGAUUGUAGGUAAAACUCCACGUUUACUUAAUUAUUCGGCGAUAACUGCUUUCGUCAUAUUUAGUUACACUUUUGUGAAGGAAACUAUUAAAUCAGCUAAAUAGCAUAUGCAUAUCCGCUCCUAAAACUUAACCUUUCAGACUCCCCCGAGUCGACAUUGCCUAAUAGAAAAGUGUACAUAUUGACUUCAAGUUGAUUGUUGAAUUGUGAGUGACUUGAGCAGACGAAACCGGCGCCCAGAAAAUAAGCAAGCGAUCAAAAUCAGAGUGUGAGCGCUGCGCCACACGGCUUAGCAUACACACCCACACAAACACGUGUACGAGCCAAAGAUGAGCCAAAGGGAGAGAUAAGCAGCCACCUGUUUGUGUGGGUGUUCGCUGUAAUUUAUCUGCCUGCGCUCACGCGCUCCUGAUAAUUUUCGGUGCUGAUCGCUGAUUGGUCCAAUCAACAAUUGAUGUUCUCGUCUGCUCGUUUGCGUGCUCUAUUUUCUGAGCGCCGUUCUUUUGUGCGCUGUGGUGGACCUGCGCAACUUUAUUCUGAGUUAGUGUGGCCCCAUCAGUCAAUCUGUUGAGCUACUUAUUAUUUUGUUAUACGUGUUUGUGGCUGCGAUGCAUAAGUAGAUAAUUCGUCCACAUUGCGUCUGCGCAACAUAAUUUUGUUUUAACUUAUGCCAGAAUUCGCGUGAUUUGAUACGUGAAAAUUCUCGAGCUAAUUUCGUCUGGAGCUGUAAUAAAACUCGCUUAUGGAGUCGAACCUAUCGGGAGUAUCAAUUGACAUGUAAAAAAUUGCCUUUUUACGUCAAGGUGGUUGCCAAAUUUUAGUCGGCUGUGAAAUACACAAAUUUUAGCGUUCGAUUGAUUGGGCAGGCUUUCAGGUCUCCCAUGAGACAUGCCUCCCAGGUCAAGAAAACAUUCAAGCCCAUUCAUAUACAGAUAACCUUGAUAAUUGCAUUCAAUGGAUAUACCUUUAACCAAAUCUAACUUUAUGUUUUAACCAAAAGACAAUGGUUAAUCAGAAUUAUUACGAAUCUGGGUCGGCUCUGAAAGAUUUAAAGGCUUGCCCGAAUUCUAAAAGCAAAAUCUGCUAAGCUAAAUCUGGAUUGGUUCUGAAAUUAAAAUUAAUAGAAGCCUCAUCUGAGUACAAAAACUGUAACCGGAGGUAAAAUUCUACGUUUUUAUUAAAUCAAAUUCCUAAGAAGGCAGCUAUUAAAUAAGCUAAAUUAAAUAUCUAUAAUACCCUAUCGGAAAAAUGUUAACUUUAAUUUGAUUGUUGAUCGAGUGACUUAAACGGACCGGCGCCCAGAAAAUAAGCAAGCGAUCGAAAUCAGAGUGUGAGCGCUGCGCCACACGGCUUGGCAUACACACCCACACAAACACGUGUACGAGCCAAAGAUGAGCCAAAGGGAGAGAUAAGCAGCCACCUGUUUGUGUGGGUGUUCGCUGUCAUUUAUCCGCCAGCGCUCACGCGCUCCUGAUAAUUUUCGGUGCUGAUCGCUGAUUGGUCCACUCAAUAAUUGAUGUUCUGAGCGCCGUUUUUUUUUUUUGAGCGCUGUGGACCUGCGCGACUUUAUUCUGAGUUAAUGUGGCCGCAUAAAGUAAUAUGGUCUGUUAUUGUGAGUGAUAGUCUCUUAAGCUUUUUUUAUGUUAGCAAUGGAAAGUGAAUUCGGACAGACCAAAACAUUAAUUUCAUUUUUA